CUCGCUCUUUCUCACUCACUCGCAGUUUGCCCACCGUUCUCUCUCUUGCUCUCUC
rnacentral:ribozyme from 1 species